GUGUAUAGAGAGUGCGGGCUUUGCCUGCCAUCUCUUACCCAUGUCUUUUGAGUACCUUCGUUUCCUCGGCGGGUUCGCCCGCCGGUUGGACAACACUUAAACCCUUUGUAAUUGAAAUCAGCGUCUGAAAAACUUUAAUAGUUACAACUUUCAACAACGGAUCUCUUGGUUCUGGCAUCGAUGAAGAACGCAGCGAAAUGCGAUAAGUAGUGUGAAUUGCAGAAUUCAGUGAAUCAUCGAAUCUUUGAACGCACAUUGCGCCCCUUGGUAUUCCAUGGGGCAUGCCUGUUCGAGCGUCAUUUGUACCUUCAAGCUCUGCUUGGUGUUGGGUGUUUGUCUCGCCUUUUGCGCGCAGACUCGCCUCAAAACGAUUGGCAGCCGGCGUAUUGAUUUCGGAGCGCAGUACAUCUCGCGCUUUGCACUCACAACGACGACGUCCAAAAAGUACAUUUUUACACUCUUGACCUCGGAUCAGGUAGGGAUACCCGCUGAACUUAAGCAUAUCAAA
rnacentral:rRNA from 1 species